AGUAGGUAGUUGACGUCAGACCGCUCUAAUUCAAUCUGUGUCGUUCAGUGUUUCUGUUUUGCCAGUUCUAACUUUUGUCUUCCUGUGCUCAGAACCUGCCUCCCUGCCUGCCUGCUUACCCACAUCAUUCACCUGCACUUCUCUCCUCCCAGUCUUCAUUGCAAUAAACCUGUGUCUGUCUGACCUGACAGUCAGAUCUUGUGCAGAUUUUUACGGGGCUUUCACACCACGAAUAAAGGCAUCAGCCGCCAUCGAUCACGCUGUGAGGAAACAGCCGAAAACAACAACAACACGGAGGCUCCGUAGUCCGAACAAAGACUUUAAAAAAAACAACUUUAUUUCUCCCUUCAAUGUUGACAAAGGGA